CCCUCUCUACGGUCUAUUUCAUUUAUUUCUUCACAUCAAAGGAGUAAUUGCCAUGGCAGAACAAGCAUUCAAAAGGUAAGAUUUGAGAUCAAUAGAUAAAAGUUGUUCUUACGGAUUUAGAGCCUGGUACUAUGAUCGGUGUUAGACCUGAGCCUUAUGGUCAAAUUUUCAGGCCUCAUAACUUAAUUUUCGGUCAGUUGGGUGCUGAUAGAAACUGCACUAAGGGUCAUUACACCGAGGGUGCUGAGUUGAUUGAUUCUGUUCUUGCCGUUGUUCUUAAAGAAACUGAGAAUUGUGAUUGCCUACAAGGUACAGAGAACCAGUUCUGAAGAACUCACAAGAGACGAUGAAAGGUAUGUUUGAAUCAGAAAACAAAAGGAAAAUAAGUGCAAAGAAUGCAAUAGUGUUCAUGAUGAGAUGUUUAAUUGGAAGUGGAAGACAGAGAUUCUUAGUGGUGAUUGUUUUCAAGAAAGUAUU